UGUUCCGGUUUGUUUGUUUAUAAUGGGAUCCACGUGGUUUUGAUUUGAUUUGGGGAGUUAUCCAAAUAAUUUAAAAACAUUCUUGAUGUGUCAUUGAGUCUGUAUGCCUUUCAGAUACGUCUGACUCACAUCUGAUGUUUUUCUCUUGCUUGUUUUUGACUCACAUCCGACCUCUAGUUCCUUCAAAUCUGGCUGCUAGUCAUCACAUUUUCAAAGGUUCUGGGCAGGAAACAAAGGAAAGCCAGAUUUUCAGUCUCCAAUUAUACUUCUUGCAGUAGUAUGGCUUAGUGAGGCUCCUUGAGUUUGGUAAAUGAACACAUCUAGAAAUACAGUGCAUUUGACAAUCAAUUAUAAUAUGAAAACUGUAAAUUGAAAUUAAAAAUGAACAUUAUUCAGUCUAUAAUGGCAUACUUAAUGUGGCGUUUGCAAAGCAGGGAGCUUCUUUGGCAAAAAAGUUAAAAUAAAAUCUACUAUUAGUACCUUUGAAUCCUUGUAGUAACUGUAGUAUUUGAAAUUGUCAAUAAUAAUACGGCGAUUGUACAAAGCACAAAACUAUUACUGCAUGCUGUGCUUACAACGCUGAGUAUCUGCAAUUCAUUCACCGCAAGACCAAAACGAUGUUAUAUCGCCCUCAGUUCGAUUUACUUUACUUAAUUACUUUCAUAACUUACCCUACCCAAUAUGUGUGUGUGUGUGUGUCUCCAUGGACAUUUGUGUGUAUAUAUAGUAUUUACAAUUGAGUGCUGUGUAAUAUCUUAUUCAUUAGGAUUACUGACAAAGAUUAGUCUUUUAUCGCCAGUUGUUCCACUGGGGCACAGAAAUCAAAGGUCUGAAAACUGACAUCUAACAACCACAAAGAUGUCAAGACUCAUCUUCUUAUAUGUUCUGCUACGAGCGAGGCCCUACUAUCGUUGCAGACUCUAUCUUUUGAGUUCACAUAGCUGGCUAGCCUGGAGAAGGCCGAUAAAGAAAAAAAUGAAAAAGGGGUUCAGUUUCUUCCAUCUGAGAAAGUGUGCUUGUUAAAGCGGAGAAUCCAUUCCCCUUUCUCUGGGACCUUUGAUCUGGGAUUACACAGGACACUCCGUGAUGAAGGCUCUACGUUUGGCCAAGGACUCGGUCAUGACGGAGGUGCCCGAGGUAGUCAUAUGCUCUGAAGUGAAAGCAGCUGAGAAGUAAGCGUGCAGACUCAAAAGUGGAUUAUUACAAGACGGCCAAUUUUUCAAUCAGUAGGCCUAGAGUUGAAGCAAAAACGGCCUCAUCGAAACUUGCCUUGAACCCCAAAGAAAACGGAAGCUCUGUUAUGGAAUGUAGCUAAAGUCCAUUUUAUUUUAAUUCCCUUUUACUGUUUUGGGUCAGCUAGCUAAACACUUGUUGUUUGGAACAAGUUAAGACAACAACUCUAUUGGUCGAGUCGCAGUUUUUGAAAUGGGUGACAGGGGGAUUCAGUCUCCCUGGAUGGAAAUCUCUGAAAAGUGGCAUUGCCCCUCUCCCACCGUAUUUUGAACAUCAAGAUUAGGGUCUAAUCAGUACUAUCCAUUGCUCUUGCUGACUUUUCAGUGGUGAGAAAGGUGAAGACAAACUGAUAUCGGCCCUCGAAAAGACACAAUUUUUGAUAUACUGCAUAGAAGUGGUGUGGCUAGGUAUUAUUUUUUCACAUGACUCCAAAUCUCUGGUUUUGCAUAGGGCUCAAGUUCAAGAUAGUUACAAUUCACUCCAUUGUCCUGUCGUGUCUCUUCUGCCCCUGUCUUGUUUCCCUGUUUGCUUCCUCUCUUUGGAUUAUUGUUGUGAUGUUAGAAUUAUAAAUGGGUUUUCUGGCGGAGCUUGGAUUUGAUUUAUUUCAAUGGGAUUCAUUCCAACCCCUAACUCUGGUCCCUGCUUAUCGGGCUUGAUUUCUUGAUGAAUGCCCCCUGCCCUGUCAACAGCCAUUUGCAAAAUCUUUUCUCAUAAAUACAUCCUGAGAUGAAAAACAAACUCAUGGUGAAAUGAACGUAUGACCUUAACAAUUACACCAUCCACGCAUGUCUGAAAAAUAUAGACAUGUCUGAAUUACAAAUAAUUGGAAUUAAUACAAUUAAGACAGAAAAUGCUUCCAUGUCUCUGGACAGCUCAGAGACGUUGCCUUGUGCUUUGUUGUUUUGUGCUUAUGACGUGGACUAUGGGUGAUUGAAUUCAGAUUGACAUUUGUUGUUUUCCCAAGGCAACUAAAAAAGGAGUGUUUAGUGUCUUUUGCUUCAUACAGAGUCAAAUAUUGGUGGUACCAGCCUCCAGCUAGCUUUUGUCACACCCCUUUAGGGCUGCCAGCUUUCAAUGUGGUGAGUUGGAGUUUAUUAUUUAGGUAUUUGUCUUAGCUGGGGUUAUUUGGGCAUAAUUAGUUUUAAAAGUAUUGUUUUUUUUUUUUUACUUAAAAAGUGGCAUGGGCCACGAUAGGAAAAUGCAGGUCCUAGGGUGACAACAGUUCAGAACCACUACGUUGCAUAAAAAUUGCCAGCAGAGGUGGUUUCUUCUACCGGGCAUUUUUCAAACUGUUAUAAUAAAAAUGAGUUGUCACCUGGUGGUGGCACAGUGGACAAUUGGUUUUCACAUCUGUCUCAUAGAUUGGAAGAUGUGGUCAAAUCUGGCCUCCCCUGUGUGAAGUUUCCAUGUUCUUCCGAUGCCUGUCUGGAUUUUUUCCAAGUACUCUGAUUUGAUUUCCUCCCACAUCCCAAAAACUGAAGACUCAAUUUCCUGUAGGUUUGAAUGGGAGUGUGAAUGAUUAUUUGUGUGUGUGCCCUGCGAUUGGCUCACGACCAGUUCAGGGUGCGACCUAUUUCUCACUCAAAAAUAUAUGCGCUUGGCUUCAGUAGAACCCUAAUGAGGAGAAGCAGUACCGAAAAUUGAUGGAUGUCAAAGAAUUUUUUUGAUUCGGAUGCCUCCCUUGGUAAGUAUUCUGGGCACGUCCAACCGGAAAGACGUCCCAGGACACGCUGGAAGGACCAUUUCUCUCGGCUGGCCUGGGAAUGCCUCUGCUUCCCCCCAGAAGUGCUGAAUGAAGUUGCUGGGAAAAGGGAAGUCUGGAUGUCCCUGCUAAAGCUACUGCCCCUGUGACCUGAACCCAUGACCCACAAUGAUGAAAUGACAGAGAAACAGGUGUGGAAUUCAAACUUCUAAAGACAUACGAAAGCUGAACCUCAAGUUGCCAAGAAAACAAAAUACCGAUUCAAUUGAUGUUGGCCAUCCAAACAGUAUCACGUGACCAGGGAAAAAUCUGAGCAAUUCUCUUCGCCACUCCUGACACCCCAAUUCGUUCCGUUCGCUCGCUUGGAGGCGACAUGUGUGGCAAGAGAGCCAUCUCAGGUUAUGGGUCACAGGCGAGCUAAAGCCAAUCCAGACGACAGUAGUACACCCACUGCAACUAUUGAAAUAUUUUGGCUACCCCGUUGUGGAAAUCACAUGCACUACUGAGAUAAUUAUAACCUUUUCUGGAUAAAGCAUUUUCAGCAGAGUGAGAUCUUACUUAACUAAGCUCACUCUCACAGUCUGCUCAGACAGUCUCCCGUCGGCUCCAUUUCGCUCCCCCGUCCCACUUUUUGGAGUCUGUGACGCCACACUUACAAGUGACAGCUUAAUACUGCUGCAAAAAUUGCUGCUUGUGUGGACCAGGCAAAGUGGGGAUGGAAUUUUUAAAUUAAAGUUGUUUUGGGUCUCAUUUUCAUGGUGCUGUUUUACUGUAUGUAUUUUUUGGUUGUCUUUCUGGAGCAUUCCGAUACACUUAAAAAAAAAAAUGAAAUUCAAGUAAACGCUUAUAAAUUGAACAUAAUCCAUUCCAGGCAGCUUUUGACGUUCUAUUAGGUUAGAUUCUGAGCUAAUUUGAAAUAUGUAAACUUUUUGCAGGUACUCUUUUAAGUAAUUCGUUGGCAUAAUGAAUAACCAUGUACAGUAUGCACUGAAAGUGCACCACUUCACUCGGAUUCAAUUAGGCUCCAUGUCUUCCGCUGCAAGUUGUUCCUUGAUUAUGUAUAUAUUUUUUAAACCUAACAAACUUAAAAAUGUUUUUGACCUGUGACAAAGUCAUGGUUCCCAUUCAUAAGUUGCAAAAGCUGUGAUUUGUUUUUAUAUAUUGGAAACAUUUAACCCGAGGUAUGUGCUUAAUGUAGCAUUUCCACAUGCAAGUAUUUCGAAUUCAUCACCAUAAUAAUUUCAUUCAUCCUUUUACAGGAUUUUUAUUCUGUGGUAAGAUUACUUAUUAUGUAUUUCUGAGUUUCUGUUCAUAUUUGUAAUUUGUUACGCAUGUCAACUGGGUCACAUGUUAUUUAGCAUACUAUGUGUACUUGGCCAUUAAAACUGAUUCUGAUAUGUAAA